ACUAAUUUUUGCAUCUUUUCAGUUGUUAGCUGUGGGAUUGUUCUGACCUAUUACAUAAUGAAACCUGCAGAAGAAAAGCAUCCUAGAAUAAAUUAUUUAUUUAUGUGUAUUCCUUCAUUGUCAUAUUUUAUGACUCUUGCUGUUUAUAAUCAGCUUAUUACCUUGGUGCACAAUGUUUUUAUAUCAGGAUAUUUCCUUGUGAUUGUAAUAGUUCCUUCAUUAAUGUUUGCAUCUUUUGUCGCCGAAGUAUACAUGCAUUCAUGGAGACAUUUCUAUGUGAGUCAGAGGAUCCUAUUGGUAAUAGUAUUCCCAUUUUACCUAAUAAUAAGUGCCCAGUAUGUGAGUUUGACUCUGGAAGAUGACAAAGAGCGACUUGUGAAGUUGGCCCGGUAUACAUUCAUCUAUUCAUCGACUUUUACAUCAUUCUUUGAUGACUUUCUUCGAUUUCGUUUACUUGACAGACCCCGUAUCCUUCUCUAUUGGUUCGGGUCUGUUAGUCUCCCCCUGGUGAAUUCUAUUGCCCUGGCUGUAGUAUUAAUACUCAAAGCAGACACAGGAAAGAGGUCAUUGGACCUACAGGUUGUUGUCUUUUUUUCUGCGUCAUCCAUCCUCUUUAGCUGGUUUCUUAUCAAGAUCACUGAAUACUGGAUGGACAGAAAAAAGGAAAGGCAGUGCAGCUGGUUGGAUAUCAAGGCAUGCCCACCCAGCAGCACUGCUGAGAAGCAUUGCCUCUCUGAGAUGCCCUGCCAGUUCACCAACUAUAAAAUGAUCCUCGGUACCCUGUGUUUACACAAUGGGGACCAGUCAGGGCAAGCCUGCGUGUUUGCUAAUAAAACAAUCAUUUGCCUGUCUUCAGAGACACCAGGAUAAUGAGCCUCAUGAGGGAUCACAUGAUGAUCAGGAGAUGGAAGAGUUUUCACCCACUGAUCCCAAUGGAACAGAAACAGGGGAGGUUACUUGGAGCAGAACUGAUAAAUCUGAAGGAUCCGAGAUACAACUUACAGGUUUCAGAUAUCAGGUCUCAAGUUUGCCAAAGAUUGUUGUGUAACCAAGCUGGUCACAUAAUCAGCUGACUGUUACAGUCCAUUUUGUUUACUGACAUGAAACACCUUGCUGGGUGUAAGAUGAACAUUUGCUUGAACAGGGUCCAUCAUAUUUUUCAUACUUUUUGGUUGAUUUGGUGUCACAAUAUUUACUUUGCAUAAAGCAAUAAAUCUUGAUUUGACACUAAACCUAAUACCAACCAUUACCAUAAUCCUAACCUUAGCCUCAACCCUUACAUGUAAUAGUAUUGAAGAGUAUUAUUUUUUCAUUUUUGUAUUUAAAUGUAAUGAUUGUCAGGAAUUUGUAUGUAGUGGUGUUCUUUCUAGGUAGCAUUGUGGCUUGGUGGGUAUGUAGUAAUCUCUUGAAACUGGUUAAUGAUCAACAGAAUUUUUUUUGUCUCACUGUGACUUUUUUUUCUCUUGUCCCUGCCCUGUCCCCAUAAAAAUUUAAACCUACCUAAUAAAACCCUGUUUAGUAUCUAUUGUGUAUUUAUGUAAAAUGCAUGUGACCUUUGGAAUACUCUGUAGGUGGUAUUGUCAUUCUUGGCACAAGUGUAAACAAGGCCAGAGAACCAAUAAAGCCAUAAUUGUUGACUGCA